AUGAAGACUUCUUUAAACUAUUUGGUCAUCUCCAUCCUAAAAAAUUGAGCAAUUCUGAAUUUGGGUCAAUUUUGGAAGAUCUAUAAGAACACUUUGGCAAAAAUAUUUGAUCACAUUUUAGAGAAGAAGUGGGUUAAGGAAUCCUCUGUUUUCAACAGAUAUGUAAGAAAACAAUUGACUACCAAAGCUAAAGAAACACCUCAAGAAGCAGUUAAUCC